rnacentral:rRNA from 1 species
AAGUCGAACGAUCCUUCGGGAUAGUGGCGGACGGGUGAGUAACGCGUGGGAAUCUGCCCUCAGGAGGGGGAUAACGGCUGGAAACGGCCGCUAAUACCCCAUAUGCCGAGAGGUGAAAUGAAUUUCGCCUGAGGAUGAGCCCGCGUCUGAUUAGCUAGUUGGUGGGGUAAAGGCCUACCAAGGCAACGAUCAGUAGCUGGUCUGAGAGGAUGAUCAGCCACACUGGGACUGAGACACGGCCCAGACUCCUACGGGAGGCAGCAGUGGGGAAUUUUCUGCAAUGGGCGAAAGCCUGACGGAGCAACGCCGCGUGAGGGAUGAAGGCCUCUGGGCUGUAAACCUCUUUUCUCAAGGAAGAAGACCUGACGGUACUUGAGGAAUAAGCCACGGCUAAUUCCGUGCCAGCAGCCGCGGUAAUACGGGAGUGGCAAGCGUUAUCCGGAAUUAUUGGGCGUAAAGCGUCCGCAGGCGGCCUUGUAAGUCUGUUGUUAAAGCGUGGAGCUCAACUCCAUUUAAGCAAUGGAAACUACAAGGCUGGAGUGUGGUAGGGGCAGAGGGAAUUCCCGGUGUAGCGGUGAAAUGCGUAGAUAUCGGGAAGAACACCAGUGGCGAAGGCGCUCUGCUGGGCCAUAACUGACGCUCAUGGACGAAAGCCAGGGGAGCGAAAGGGAUUAGAUACCCCUGUAGUCCUGGCCGUAAACGAUGAACACUAGGUGUCGGGGGAAUCGACCCCCUCGGUGUCGUAGCCAACGCGUUAAGUGUUCCGCCUGGGGAGUACGCACGCAAGUGUGAAACUCAAAGGAAUUGACGGGGGCCCGCACAAGCGGUGGAGUAUGUGGUUUAAUUCGAUGCAACGCGAAGAACCUUACCAGGGUUUGACAUCCUGCGAACCCCUGAGAAAUCGGGGGGUGCCUUCGGGAGCGCAGAGACAGGUGGUGCAUGGCUGUCGUCAGCUCGUGUCGUGAGAUGUUGGGUUAAGUCCCGCAACGAGCGCAACCCACGUCUUUAGUUGCCAGCAUUCAGUUGGGCACUCUAGAGAGACCGCCGGUGAUAAACCGGAGGAAGGUGUGGAUGACGUCAAGUCAUCAUGCCCCUUACAUCCUGGGCUACACACGUACUACAAUGCUACGGACAAAGGGCAGCAAGCUCGCGAGAGUUAGCAAAUCCCAUAAACCGUGGCUCAGUUCAGAUCGUGGGCUGCAACUCGCCUACGUGAAGGAGGAAUCGCUAGUAAUCGCAGGUCAGCAUACUGCGGUGAAUACGUUCCCGGGCCUUGUACACACCGCCCGUCACACCAAGGAAGUUGGCCAUGCCCGAAGUCGUUACUCCAACCCUUGUGGAGGAGGACGCCGAAGGUGGGGCUGAUGACUGGGGUGAAGUCGUAACAAGGUA